ACUUGUAUUUACUUGGUUCAAUCGGGGAUUGAAUCAAGGGGAUUGAGGUUGGUUGGUGAGCCGAGUUAAAACCAACGUGUGUAAGGGUUUGAUUGUGAGCCCGGGAAAACAAUCGGGGUUGGUUCUAGUCGGUGAGCCUGGAAAAACCGACCGAGUUCGUUGUGAGCUCGUAAAACAACAAGUUCGGUUGUGAGCUUGGAAAACAACCGACUGUAAUCCAAGGGGGGUUAUAGUGAAUUCCCAAGUGAGACUUGGGGAGUGGACGUAGGAGCAAGGGUUAGCUCCGAACC
rnacentral:lncRNA from 1 species